rnacentral:tRNA from 1 species
GCGGUCGUGGCGGAACUGGCAGACGCGCUAGAUUCAGGUUCUAGUGCUCGCGAGGGCGUGGAGGUUCAAGUCCUCUCGACCGCACCA